GAUUAGAUACCCUAUUUUACUUGGAGGUAAUAAAGAGAGCUUGAAUAUUAAUAGAUAUAUUCUUGAAAUUUAUAGAAUUUGGCGGUAUUUUAGUCUAGUUAGAGGAACCUGUUUCGUAAUCGAUACUACACGUAAUAUUUUACUGAUUUUUUGUUAUAGGGGUUUGUAUACCGCUAUUAUUAGAUAAUUUUUAUAGAGUAAACUAUUGGAGUUAGAAUAUCUAAGGAUAUUAGGUCAAGGUGCAGCUUAUGAAUUAGUGAGAAUGGGUUACAAUAGAAUUUAUUUAUGACGGAUUCUUGUUGGAAGAGAUAAUGAUGAAGGGGGAUUUAAUUGUAAUGAGAAAAGUUAAUAAGUUUUGAUGAUAUAAGUACUAAAUUAAGUACAUAUCG
rnacentral:rRNA from 1 species